rnacentral:pre_miRNA from 1 species
UAUGUACUUCCUCCGUUCCGAAUUACUUGUCUUGGAUUUGUCUAGAUACGGAUGUAUCUAGACUCAUUUUAGUGCUAGAUACCUCCGUAUCUAGACAAAUCCAAGACAAGUAAUUCGAAACGGAGGGAGUAAAGC